GAAGAAGAGAAACGGAGCCGUCUGAGGGAUAGCGCGGAUCUUACCAGCACCGGAGUACCUUCACAGACCUCUUGUUGAAGACUUAAACGCGCGUGUGUGUCACUGGGAAGAAGGGAGGGGCUCAGGGAGGGCCCCAGGAAGGGGUGACUGGACGCUUCAUCACCCGAUGGCCAACCUCUCACAAUGAUGCAUGAAGCCCGGCAGGAUGCGGUGCAUGGACACACGCACAUGCACACACAACACCGGCACACACAUACACACUCCUACGGGAGGCACUUCAUCCAGUUCCAUAAACUGUGGUCAGGAGGGCUGGUUAAAAGAAAAGGCUGAACACAUGUUGAACAUCAGUGUGAUCAAAAUCGAAUGUGAUAAAAAUGAAAUGAAAUAAAAGUUACUUGAUGUUUUUACGUUCAA